rnacentral:lncRNA from 1 species
UGGUUUCUACACCUCAAUUCUGCUGGCCGCACCCAACGUUAGCCAACACAACCACCCAGACAACCUAACGUGUUCUACGCCUCAAUUCUGCCCUCCCAACAUCAAAUGAGACAAAGAUCCACCUACAAGAGCCCUCUCAAUAUGGGCUCUAGCUUUCUGGAUUUGCUCCUGCUGCUGCUACUCUUACCCGAGGAGGCUGAGGACGAGGAAGGAGGAGGCUUGGUAAAGCG